UAAACUUACUGCAGCCUGGUCUUGUUCCUGCCUUGUCACACCAAAACGAUGUGCUACAUUCUCAGAAGUAAUACCCAUAGGAAGAAGACAGUCUUGAGCUUGUGCCAUCAUCUUAACCUGAGAUCAAACGUUAAAGGUUAUGCUAAUCCUUCCAAUAGAACUCAUCUCUAAAGAAAAUAAGCCUAACAAUAGAUGUUAGAGGUUAUGCUAAUCCUUCCAAUAGAACUCAUCUCUAUUAAAAAUAAGCCUAACAAUAUAAAACAAAAGAAUACACAAUAUUUUCAUAGAACAAAGGACAUA
rnacentral:lncRNA from 1 species